rnacentral:snRNA from 1 species
GUGCUCGCUUCAGCAGCACAUAGACUAAGAUUGGAACGAUACAGAGAAGAUUAGCAUGGCCCCUGCCCAAGGAUAACACGCAAAUUCGUGAAGCGUUCCAUGUUUUA